UUCUGCCUUCUCCUCCGGGUCCAGAGCAAGAGCUGAAAGAACUAGGAAGCUGAGAUAGAAAACGAAUCUAUUUCACUCAAAAGUCUUCAGAUCAGAACUUACUGAUUGGAAGUGUGAUCAGCAGCUGACAGGCCGGCGAGGGAGAAGCACCCAGACACAAAGGAACCCAUUGCAAUAUGUGUAACUACAGACUUAAAUCCUAAAGUAGUGAGAGAAGAUAAAUAUUUAUAGCCUUGACCAAAGUAUCCACUCUAUCAAGCAUGUACAAUCGGAUCCGUCCCCCACCACUCCAGGAAGAGCAAGACAGCCAGACAGAACGGGGCCUCAGAAAAUAAAGGGCUGGAGCUCCAGUGGCGCAAUCGGUUAGCACGUGGUACUUAUACAGAAAAUAAAGGGCUGGAAGAGACUUCAGUGACCAUCAGAUCUACCUCAAUUUACAAUUAAGGCAUCUAAAGGCUAGUCAAAAAACCUGCUCCAAGUCAUCAACCAAUGUCAGAGCCAGACUAAAGCCGAGAUCUCCCAGUGUUCUUUUCACAGCACCAUGUCACUGACAUCACAGCUGUGUCACUGGAACUAUUAUCCACUCAUCACCCACAAAUAUUUGUUCAGUGUCCAAUUUACAUAUGGUGAUCCAGGAAAUACCACAGAAUAAAAUGACCACAGCUUGC